UAAUUAGUUACGUCUAGCCAUGUCCUCCCUUUGCCUUACAGUUCUAGAAUUAUAUUAUAGAGCCUGAUAGCAUUAUCACAGUCGGUAUGGUUUGAUCUUUCACUCUACGAUGUAAAGCUUUUCAGGAGAAAAACUUAUAUUCGUAACCUACAUGUUAUUGUCGUAUUUGUAUGUUUUUGUCCUGUGAUCUGUUCUGUGUCCUCGUCCUCCUUUCAUCUAUAUGUUUUGCAUGUUGUCUGCAGAAACCUGAGGAGAAACCGAAAUCAACUCUCGGUCUGAAAAAACCAUCAGUCAAGGAACCUGUAAAGAAACCAGAUGCCCCUGAAACAAAAGUUGAUUCCGCUGAGGUUGACGAUGAGGAAACAGCUAGUAGUAGAUCAGACGGGAGCUCCGAAGAGGAAGAAGAUACUUUCGAUGAGUCAGACAA
rnacentral:lncRNA from 1 species